GGGGCUGUAGCUCAGUGGUUGAGCACUUGCCUAGCAUGUGCGAGUCACAGGGUUCGAUCCUCAGCACCA
rnacentral:tRNA from 1 species